GGACUGUAACUGACGCUGAGGCGCGAAAGUGUGGGGAGCAAACAGGAUUAGAUACCCUGGUAGUCCACACUGUAAACGAUGAGUGCUAGGUGUAGGAGGUAUCGACCCCUUCUGUGCCGCAGUUAACACAAUAAGCACUCCGCCUGGGGAGUACGGCCGCAAGGUUGAAACUCAAAGGAAUUGACGGGGGCCCGCACAAGCAGCGGAGCAUGUGGUUUAAUUCGACGCAACGCGAAGAACCUUACCAGGUCUUGACAUCCAAUUAAGCCUGUAGAGAUACAGGGUGUGCUUGCACAAAUUGAGACAGGUGGUGCAUGGUUGUCGUCAGCUCGUGUCGUGAGAUGUUGGGUUAAGUCCCGCAACGAGCGCAACCCUUGCUAUUAGUUGCUACGCAAGAGCACUCUAAUAGGACUGCCGUUGACAAAACGGAGGAAGGUGGGGACGACGUCAAAUCAUCAUGCCCCUUAUGACCUGGGCUACACACGUACUACAAUGGCCAUCAACAGAGGGAAGCAAAACAGCGAUGUGGAGCAAACCCCUAAAAAUGGUCUCAGUUCAGAUUGCAGGCUGCAACCCGCCUGCAUGAAGUCGGAAUGCUAG
rnacentral:rRNA from 1 species